UUGAANUGGGCGAAGCCUGAUCCAGCAAUGCCGCGUGGGUGAUGAAGGCCUUAGGGUUGUAAAGCCCUUUCGGCGGGGACGAUGAUGACGGUACCCGCAGAAGAAGCCCCGGCUAACUUCGUGCCAGCAGCCGCGGUAAUACGAAGGGGGCGAGCGUUGUUCGGAAUUACUGGGCGUAAAGGGCGCGCAGGCGGCGCGAGAAGUCAGGCGUGAAAGCCCCGGGCUCAACCUGGGAACUGCGCUUGAUACUCUCGUGCUGGAGUUCGGGAGAGGAGAGUGGAAUUCCCAGUGUAGAGGUGAAAUUCGUAGAUAUUGGGAAGAACACCGGUGGCGAAGGCGGCUCUCUGGACCGAUACUGACGCUGAGGCGCGAAAGCGUGGGGAGCAAACAGGAUUAGAUACCCUGGUAGUCCACGCUGUAAACGAUGUGUGCUAGACGUUGGGAAGCCUAGCUUCUCGGUGUCGCAGCUAACGCUUUAAGCACACCGCCUGGGGAGUACGGCCGCAAGGUUAAAACUCAAAAGAAUUGACGGA
rnacentral:rRNA from 1 species